CAUAUGCUUGUCUCAAAGAUUAAGCCAUGCACGUCUAAGGAUAAAGUAUUAUUUAACCAUAAACCUGCGAAAGGCUCAUUAAAUCAGUAAUAAUCUAUUCUAUUAUUUUAAAUCCUAUUUUGGAUAACUGUAGUAAUUCUAGAGCUAAUACAUGCAAAAAACCUGGACUUUACAGAACAGGUGUACUUAUUAGACUUUAAAACCGAUUACAAUUUAUUGUAAAUUUAAAAUGAAUUAAAAUAAGUUUAUGAAUCGCAGAUCAUUUUGUGAUGAUAAGAAUGAAUUUCUGCCCUAUCAACUUUCGAUGGUAAUGUAGUGGAUUACCAUGGUGAUGACGGGGUAACGGGGAAUUAGGGUUUGAUUCCGGAGAAAAAGGCCUGAGAGACGGCCAUUACUUCUAAGGAAGGCAGCAGGCGC
rnacentral:rRNA from 1 species